rnacentral:rRNA from 1 species
CCUACGUGAGACAGCAGUAGGGAAUCUUCCACAAUGGGCGAAAGCCUGAUGGAGCAACGCCGCGUGGGUGAAGAAGGUCUUCGGAUCGUAAAACCCUGUUGUUAGAGAAGAAAGUGCGUGAGAGUAACUGUUCACGUUUCGACGGUAUCUAACCAGCAAGCCACGGCUAACUACGUGCCAGCAGCCGCGGUAAUCCGUAGGUGGCAAGCGUUAUCCGGUUUUAUUGGGCGUAAAGGGAACGCAGGCGGUCUUUUAAGUCUGAUGUGAAAGCCUUCGGCUUAACCGGAGUAGUGCAUUGGAAACUGGGAGACUUGAGUGCAGAAGAGGAGAGUGGAACUCCAUGUGGAGCGGUGAAAUGCGUAGAUAUAUGGAAGAACACCAGUGGCGAAAGCGGCUCUCUGGUCUGUAACUGACGCUGAGGUUCGAAAGCGUGGGUAGCAAACAGGAUUAGAUACCCUGGUAGUC